rnacentral:lncRNA from 1 species
CAGUUCCGGUACGUAGGUUUUCAGUUCCGCAAAACCCGAACAUUGGAUUUCCAGAUUUUCUAUUACGUAUCGGUACCUAAAUUUUCAUACUGAUACUCAAUACGAAUUCUGUAGCUCCCAUACUGGUACUCAGACUUCAGUUCCUCAAAACGAGAGAGCUAGUUUCUCACCAUUUUGUAUUGCGUGCUGAUACUCAGAUUCCAGUACCGGUACUCAAUACAAAAUCUGCAACUCUGGCAGAUUUAGCCUUUCGGAGUCCGUUUUCGCACCUAGUUUGCGCUGAAACACUUGAAUAACCCCGAAACCUCGCCAGAACUAUUCAAAUAGCCUUCUAGGCCACUUUCCACUAGAACUUCAUA